GCGCCUAUAGCUCAAUUGGUAGAGCAGUGGCCUUUUAAGCCAACGGUUGGGGGUUCAAGUCCCUCUGGGCGCACCA
rnacentral:tRNA from 1 species